rnacentral:rRNA from 1 species
UGGGGAAUUUUGGACAAUGGGCGCAAGCCUGAUCCAGCAAUGCCGCGUGAGUGAAGAAGGCCCUCGGGUUGUAAAGCUCUUUUGUCAGGGAAGAAAAGGUGAUCUCUAAUACAGGUCACUCAUGACGGUACCUGAAGAAUAAGCACCGGCUAACUACGUGCCAGCAGCCGCAGUAAUACGUAGGGUGCAAGCGUUAAUCGGAAUUACUGGGCGUAAAGCGUGCGCAGGCGGUUAUAUAAGUCAGAUGUGAAAUCCCCGGGCUCAACCUGGGAACUGCAUUUGAGACUGUAUGGCUAGAGUGUGUCAGAGGGGGGUAGAAUUCCACGUGUAGCAGUGAAAUGCGUAGAUAUGUGGAGGAAUACCGAUGGCGAAGGCAGCCCCCUGGGAUAACACUGACGCUCAUGCACGAAAGCGUGGGGAGCAAACA